rnacentral:rRNA from 1 species
CGGCCAGAUAAGUCAGUGGUGAAAGCCCAUCGCUCAACGGUGGAACGGCCAUUGAUACUGUCUGGCUUGAAUUACAAGGAAGUAACUAGAAUAUGUAGUGUAGCGGUGAAAUGCUUAGAGAUUACAUGGAAUACCAAUUGCGAAGGCAGGUUACUACUUGUGGAUUGACGCUGAUGGACGAAAGCGUGGGUAGCGAACAGGAUUAGAUACCCUGGUAGUCCACGCCGUAAACGAUGGAUACUAGCUGUUGGGAGUGAUCUCAGUGGCUAAGCGAAAGUGAUAAGUAUCCCACCUGGGGAGUACGGGCGCAAGCCUGAAACUCAAAGGAAUUGACGGGGGCCCGCACAAGCGGUGGAGCAUGUGGUUUAAUUCGAUGAUACGCGAGGAACCUUACCAAGGCUUAAAUGUAGAUUGACCGUUUUGGAAACAGAACUUUCGCAAGACAAUUUACAAGGUGCUGCAUGGUUGUCGUCAGCUCGUGUCGUGAGAUGUUGGGUUAAGUCCCGCAACGAGCGCAACCCUUGCCAUUAAUUGCCAUCAUUUAGUUGGGCACUUUAAUGGGACUGCCGGUGACAAACCGGAGGAAGGUGGGGAUGACGUCAAGUCCUCAUGGCCCUUAUGGCCAGGGCUUCACACGUAAUACAAUGGUCGGUACAGAGGGUUGCCAACCCGCGAGGGGGAGCCAAUCCCAGAAAGCCGAUCGUAGUCCGGAUUGUAGUCUGCAACUCGACUGCAUGAAGUCGGAAUCGCUAGUAAUCGCGGAUCAGC